ensembl:misc_RNA Metazoa_SRP Metazoan signal recognition particle RNA
GCCAGGCAUGGUGGUGCAUGCCUGUAAUCCCAGCUACGCGGGAGGCUGAGGCAGGAGAAUCACUUGAACCCAGGAGGCGGAGGUUGCAGUGAGCCGAGAUCGGGACACUGCACUCCAGCCUGGGUGACAGAGUGAGACUCUAUCUCAA